rnacentral:rRNA from 1 species
GGCGUGCUUAACACAUGCAAGUCGAGCGGUAAGGCCCUUCGGGGUACACGAGCGGCGAACGGGUGAGUAACACGUGGGUGAUCUGCCUCGCACUUCGGGAUAAGCCUGGGAAACUGGGUCUAAUACCGGAUAUGACCACUGGUCGCAUGGUUGGUGGUGGAAAGAUUUAUCGGUGCGAGAUGGGCCCGCGGCCUAUCAGCUUGUUGGUGGGGUAAUGGCCUACCAAGGCGACGACGGGUAGCCGGCCUGAGAGGGCGACCGGCCACACUGGGACUGAGACACGGCCCAGACUCCUACGGGAGGCAGCAGUGGGGAAUAUUGCACAAUGGGCGAAAGCCUGAUGCAGCGACGCCGCGUGAGGGAUGACGGCCUUCGGGUUGUAAACCUCUUUCGACAGGGACGAAGCGUGAGUGACGGUACCUGUAGAAGAAGCACCGGCUAACUACGUGCCAGCAGCCGCGGUAAUACGUAGGGUGCGAGCGUUGCUCGGAAUUACUGGGCGUAAAGAGCUUGUAGGCGGUUUGUCGCGUCGUCUGUGAAAACUCACAGCUCAACUGUGAGCUUGCAGGCGAUACGGGCAGACUUGAGUACUGCAGGGGAGACUGGAAUUCCUGGUGUAGCGGUGAAAUGCGCAGAUAUCAGGAGGAACACCGGUGGCGAAGGCGGGUCUCUGGGCAGUAACUGACGCUGAGAAGCGAAAGCGUGGGUAGCGAACAGGAUUAGAUACCCUGG